CUUAUCAAGAGUGGCGGAGGAAUCUGGUCCUAUGAAGCCCGGCAACCUGUUUUCAAGGUGCUAAAUCCAGCGGUUUAUCCGAAAGAUGAGG
rnacentral:ncRNA from 1 species